rnacentral:rRNA from 1 species
CAGCAGCCGCGGGAAUACGUAGGUCCCGAGCGUUGUCCGGAUUUAUUGGGCGUAAAGCGAGCGCAGGCGGUUAGAUAAGUCUGAAGUUAAAGGCUGUGGCUUAACCAUAGUACGCUUUGGAAACUGUUUAACUUGAGUGCAAGAGGGGAGAGUGGAAUUCCAUGUGUAGCGGUGAAAUGCGUAGAUAUAUGGAGGAACACCGGUGGCGAAAGCGGCUCUCUGGCUUGUAACUGACGCUCAUGCACGAAAGCGUGGGGAGCAAACAGGAUUAGAUACCCCGGUAGUCCCUGUCUCUUAUACA